GAGUCGAGGGUCGGGGUGGGCUGGACCUGUGGGCGAAGGGAGGCUGUGGACACAGAUGUCUGUGAAGCAGGCCCAUGGGAGGGAACGUGGAUGGUCUUCCCUGAGAGCUUUCUGAAAAGGAACCUGAGCAGAGCACGCGGAGCAUGGCCAUCUUUCAAAGGCAGGGGGCUUCUGCCUGCUGAGCCGCAUGGGGCACAGCGGGGCACAGCCCUCCCAGGAAUGUCCUGAGGUCUGUGUCACUGGGGUGGGAGUAGAGAGGAUGGAUGCGUCAUGCCCGGCACUUCUGCUUGUUCUGUGGAGCUGGUACACUCACAGCAGUGAAGAGUUUACGACUGGAAAUGGUGCUCAAGGCGAUCGGGGCCAGCAUUUCCCCAAGAGCAGAGCAAGUGGAUGUGCUCUUACCUGUGGUCUGCAAGAACACGGAGGGGCUCCACACACUUGGUACUGAAUGACACUGAAUUACCCAGAGAGGCUUGCGUUCCCUCUCCAGGUCUCUUCCAACCCUUACAACUCUGCAGGGAGGGAGUCUCACCUUGGUAAAGUCUCACCUAGGUGUUGGGGUGUUUUAAACACCUCCCAGGACAUCUGCUCAUCUCUUCCACCCCUUCACUCCAGACCCGAGGCCCAGAGUCUUCAGGAAGUGCCAGCAUCUGAGUAGUGGUGUAUCGCCUUGUUUUGUUCACAGCUAUUUUCUAUUGAUGGCAAAUGAUACUGGCUCUUCGGUUGUUACAAAGUUUUUGUUCAAAUGAGCAAUUUAAAAAUAUUUUCAUUUAGAAAUGAGUGAUUUUUAAAUAGGGGUGCCUCUGUUUUGAGACAAAUAUCAAAUCGGUCAUCAUGCAGGCUUCCAAGGCUGUGGUGACUUGUGAAGUAGAAAGGAGAUGACUGGGGCUGGAAGGCACAAGGCCGGGCCCUCCCACGCCGGAGACGGAGGGGAAGGGUCUUGCCCAGAGGCUCACGGCGAGGCCGGAUAAGCAGUCACCUUGCAACCACUUUUCGCUCCUAUUGCUUCCUCUGCUGUGUUAGUCGCUCAGGCGUGUCCAACACUUUGUGGCCCAAUGGACUGCUUCCAGGUGGUGCUGGGGAAUCCCAGGGACGGGGAGCCUGGUGGGCUACCAUCUAUGGGGUCGCACAGAGUCGGAUACGACUGAAGUGACUUAACAGCAGCAGCAGCAACCUGGUCUCUGUCCCUUCUGGAACCCUGACUCCGGCUGCCUGUGUGUGCAGCCGCCCUCACCAGGCAGACUGGCCAGGCAGCCCACCAAGGCCUGGCUACCCACCGGGAGCCC
ensembl:lncRNA